rnacentral:rRNA from 1 species
AAGCCAUGCGAGUCAUAUGUAGCAAUACAUGGCGUACUGCUCAGUAACACGUGGAUAACCUGCCCUUGGGACCGGCAUAACCCCGGGAAACUGGGGAUAAUUCCGGAUAACGCAUAUUUGCUGGAAUGCUUUAUGCGUCAAAAGGAUUCGUCUGCCCAAGGAUGGGUCUGCGGCCUAUCAGGUAGUAGUGGGUGUAAUGUACCUACUAGCCAGCGACGGGUACGGGUUGUGAGAGCAAGAGCCCGGAGAUGGAUUCUGAGACAUGAAUCCAGGCCCUACGGGGCGCAGCAGGCGCGAAAACUUUACAAUGCGGGAAACCGUGAUAAGGGGACACCGAGUGCCAGCAUCAUAUGCUGGCUGUCCGGAUGUGUAAAAUACAUCCGUUAGCAAGGGCCGGGCAAGACCGGUGCCAGCCGCCGCGGUAACACCGGCGGCCCGAGUGGUGAUCGUGAUUAUUGGGUCUAAAGGGUCCGUAGCCGGUUUGGUCAGUCCUCCGGGAAAUCUGAUAGCUCAACUAUUAGGCUUUCGGGGGAUACUGCCAGACUUGGAACCGGGAGAGGUAAGAGGUACUACAGGGGUAGGAGUGAAAUCUUGUAAUCCCUGUGGGACCACCUGUGGCGAAGGCGUCUUACCAGAACGGGUUCGACGGUGAGGGACGAAAGCUGGGGGCACGAACCGGAUUAGAUACCCGGGUAGUCCCAGCCGUAAACGAUGCUCGCUAGGUGUCAGGCAUGGCGCGACCGUGUCUGGUGCCGCAGGGAAGCCGUGAAGCGAGCCACCUGGGAAGUACGGCCGCAAGGCUGAAACUUAAAGGAAUUGGCGGGAA